CCCCAUUGUCCUUUAUCUGUCACUGCCUUAUGUCCCAACACAGACCGUGGCACCCCUUUUAAAAAUCAGCCAGUGGUGUGCUAGUAAACGGGUUCGCUGAAUGAAAGCUCCCAUGUGUAGCGUUUGCUGAUUUCCGUGGUGUAAAUAUUGUCACCAUGGCUGACGGCAAGAUACCAGUGGUUUAACAGUUGGCUUGCAGACUUCCUGAGUGUUUAACAGCUGCUCUCACAAGCUGGUAGGAGCUGGCUCGAGCACAUCAUGAUCAUAAGAAAAUAACAACAUAUUUGUAGUACUGGGGUUAUUUUUCACUUGGCAAAAUAAUAUAAAGAUUUAAAGAAAAAAAUAUGCCUGUGGGUCAAAAAAACCCUUCACCCUGAACUGGGUUCCUCAUUACUUACUCCUUAUUCCCUUCUUCUCAACUGUGUUCCUCACACACUAGCCUGCAUCAGAAUUACCCAGAAGGCUUGUUAAAACACAGAUGACUGGGCCCCACCCCCAGAGUUUCUGGAUGCUCCGGGCUCAAGAAUUCGCAUCUUUAACAAGCUCCCAGGUGAUGCUGCUGUGGAUCCUGUGAUCCUGCUUUGAGAGCCACUGCCCUAGCAGGAUCACAUAUUUUGCUCAAAAUCUGCUUCCAGGUGCUGAGUGGAAGGGGUAACUGUCUGCAAGGACCUUCUCAUAAAUUUCGCUCAGAGAGGAGGCCUUCUGUGAAGUUGCCAUUAGACAUUGUCAUUCAUCUGUGGAGACUGAGGGCCAGAUAGUUUCAGGUGAGUGGAUCAGAAUGUAGUAAAGACUUUGAAGAUAAUUAGCAGUGUGAGGGCAAGGGUUGUGUUUAUUUUGUCUCCCUAUCUAUUCCCAUUAGACUUGGCACAUAGUAAGUGCUCAUAAAAAUAUUCGUGAAAUUAAAUUGGAAACCAGUUUGGUCCUUGUGCGACUUGAUUUGUAUAUUUUUAAAUACUAUUUCUUUUGUUUGAGUAAAAUUAAUACUUGCUGAUUACAAAGAGUUUAAGCAAUAAGGAAAGGAAGAGAAAACAAUCUAAAUCCCUCUACCUAAAAAUAAUCAAUAUUAACAUUAGUUGG
rnacentral:lncRNA from 1 species